GAAUGAGAAUUCUCAUCUGGAAUUCCCAUUCUGGUUCUGGACUUACCACCUUGCUCACAUCCAUGAUCUAAUCUUUGCUGGCUCUACUGAUCCUGUCUGCAUCUCAGCUCCUACAUCUGGUCAGCAUGGGGACCGAAGACAUCCUCCCUGAUGUAUUAGGGUUUGUCUUGCUUUAUGGACUGGUCAGCUGCUGGUCCACCUGGUGCACAGGGAUGUGAAGCAAUGGAUGACACCCUGGCCAUUUCGUAUGAUCCAAUAUCUUGUGUCUAGGUUGUAUUUCAGGCCAACUUUUAGUGAAGUGGAUCAAUGCUUGACGCGCGUAAUGUAACCUGAUUCUUCAAGAGUUUGAUUAAUUGUGUCACAGUCACAGCCUCGGUUCAGCAAGGGUUCCUCUUCUGGGCAGUUCACCUGGAGAGCUAGAGAAACAGCACAUGACUGUUCUGAAGCCAGGCAGCAGAUAGAUGCUUCUUCAGCCCAGGGUGCAGAAUAAAGAUGAAAUAGUGGAGAAAAACCAUCAACACCUAUGUUGAUACGACCAACAAUCUCAUCUUAUGGAUGGAGAAACUGAGGUUCAGAAGAGACAAGUGAUUUCCCCAAAUUCACAGAGCAAUCAAGUGAAAGUGGAACAUGGGACUGAUGCCAAACCUGCACCUCACCACCAGGAUUGGUUUUAAACUCAUUCCUACAUCCCAUGGGAGUCUGGCUGGACAGAUCCCUUGACAGUGGAUAGAAAUAGCUCUCAAAGCCUAUUUUUAAGGAGAAUGUGAUGUCAGAAAAUGAGGCCGGACUGGACACUAAGAAGAGAAAAGAACGCACCAGACUGGAGAGCGGAAGAAAUCAGAUUUGUCAACUGGUGACAUAUAAUCCAGCAAGUAAUGCCAUUAACUAUCUGAAGAACAGGAGGUGAUGGAGGACUGAGAAUUCCAAAAUUUCCCAGUUUAGUGUGAACUCAAGAGGACUCAACUGGAGCAGGUCAGAAGUGUGCUGAGGAAAGCCUUGAAGAACUGUGAGAUAUGCUCUGACUCUGACCAUUGGUUCGAGAGCAAAGAGAUUAGAAAAUUAUCCAGCGACCUCCCCCCGACCCUCAUAUACCGGUGCAAGUGACUGAGGUAUUUUCUGGGAAGUGUUCUACCCCUCCAUAGGCUGAAGAAUACAAGAUUGGAAAGGAUGGUGAGAAGGGGUAUGGAACUUGUUAGUUACUGAGAAACCCCUCUAUGAGUGAUGGAGGCAAGUUGCUACCUCUGAGAGACAGCCUUCUCUCACUCCAGGGGAAGCUAUUUUUAGCACAUGCUGGGCACCCAGUAACUGUUCAUAUGUUCCAAGUGAUGAUGAAUUCAACCAAACAACAAGUCAAGACCCUGGCUAUCACUCAACUCAAGUCAGUCAUAACAGCUGACAAAAAUAAAA